GAUGAACGCUGGCGGCGUGCCUAAUACAUGCAAGUCGAGCGAAUGGAUUAAGAGCUUGCUCUUAUGAAGUUAGCGGCGGACGGGUGAGUAACACGUGGGUAACCUGCCCAUAAGACUGGGAUAACUCCGGGAAACCGGGGCUAAUACCAGAUAACAUUUUGAACCACAUGGUUCGAAAUUGAAAGGCGGCUUCGGCUGUCACUUAUGGAUGGACCCGCGUCGCAUUAGCUAGUUGGUGAGGUAACGGCUCACCAAGGCAACGAUGCGUAGCCGACCUGAGAGGGUGAUCGGCCACACUGGGACUGAGACACGGCCCAGACUCCUACGGGAGGCAGCAGUAGGGAAUCUUCCGCAAUGGACGAAAGUCUGACGGAGCAACGCCGCGUGAGUGAUGAAGGCUUUCGGGUCGUAAAACUCUGUUGUUAGGGAAGAACAAGUGCUAGUUGAAUAAGCUGGCACCUUGACGGUACCUAACCAGAAAGCCACGGCUAACUACGUGCCAGCAGCCGCGGUAA
rnacentral:rRNA from 1 species